rnacentral:rRNA from 1 species
UACAGAGGGUGCAAGCGUUGUCCGGAAUCACUGGGCGUAAAGGGCGCGUAGGCGGCCUGAUAAGUAGGAGGUGAAAUCCUGGGGCUUAACCUCAGGGCUGCCUUCUAGACUGUCCGGCUCGAGCACAGUAGAGGCAGGUGGAAUUCCCGGUGUAGCGGUGGAAUGCGUAGAGAUCGGGAAGAACAUCGGUGGCGAAGGCGGCCCGCUGGGCAGGAAGACACCGCAAGGUGUCGGCUGACGCUGAGGCGCGACAGCGUGGGGGAGCAAACAGG